AUUGAACGCUGGCUGCAGGCCUAACACAUGCAAGUCGAACGAGUGGCGGACGGGUGAGUAAUGUCUGGGAAACUGCCCGAUGGAGGGGGAUAACUACUGGAAACGGUAGCUAAUACCGCAUACCCUCGGAUGUGCCCAGAUGGGAUUAGCUAGUAGGUGGGGUAACGGCUCACCUAGGCGCCGCUCCCUAGCUGUUCUGAGAGGAGGACAAGCCACCCUGGAACGGAGACACGGUCCAGACUCAUACGGGAGGCAGCAGUGGAGAAUAUUGCACAAUGGGCGCAAGCCUGAUGCAGCCAUGCCGAUUGUAUGAAGAAGGCCUUCGGGUUUGAAAGUACUUUCAGCGAGGAGGCGUUACUCGCAGAAGAAGCACCGGCUAACUCCGUGCCAGCAGCCGCGGUAAUAC
rnacentral:rRNA from 1 species